CACAUGCAAGUCGAGCGGAUGAUGGGAGCCUGCUCCCGGAUUCAGCGGCGGACGGGUGAGUAAUGCCUAGGAAUCUGCCUGGUAGUGGGGGACAACGUUUCGAAAGGAACGCUAAUACCGCAUACGUCCUACGGGAGAAAGCAGGGGACCUUCGGGCCUUGCACUAUCUUAUGGGCCUCAGGGCGGAUUANCUACUUGGUGGGGUAAAGGCCUACCAAGGCGACGAUCCGUAACUGGUCUGAGAGGAUGAUCAGUCACACUGGAACUGAGACACGGCCCAGGCUCCUACGGGAGGCAGCAGUGGGGAAUAUUGGACAAUGGGCGACAGCCUGAUCCACCCAUGCCGCGUGUGUGAAGAAGGUCUUCGGA
rnacentral:rRNA from 1 species